CUAUAGAAUUUUAUAUUAACUUUACCUAGCGGUUAAUGCUGGUUUUUUGUUAAUAUUUGGUUGGGAGGAUUAUUAAAUUUAACAAACUUUAUAUCAUUAUAAACUUUGAUUUAAGAAAAUAUAAUGACCUUCAAUUUGAAAUAGUUAGAGUAAAUUACCUUAGGGAUAACAGCGUAAUAUUUUUUUAUAGACCUUAUAGAAAAAAAUGGUUGCGACCUCGAUGUUGAAUUAAGAUAAAUUUUAAAUGCAGGAGUUUAAUAAUUAAGUCUGUUC
rnacentral:rRNA from 1 species